GGAGAUUCUCAGGCGACCUUCCCUCUUAUCUUCCUCUUGCAUUUAUCAGAAGUGCUGAACCCUUGACGUGCCUUAUCUUAUUUGCUCCUCACAACAAAUCUUAUGAGAUGCAUCACUACCAGAAGUUGUCCAGAAAGAACUGUGACCGUAUGUUUUAAUUAAAUAAUUUUUCAUCCAGUUUUUUUCUUUGCAUAUAAAGAAACAGAAUCCUGACAUCUGAUUGAAUUGUAAGCAUCUUCCUGCAUCCUGUAUAUCUGAGAUAAAACUUCAAAGAAUCAACUUAAGGUCACAAAGGAUUACAAAGAAAAAAUUUUAGAAAGGGGUCCCUAGAUGCACUGAACGUAUUUCUAUUGAGACAUUCCCCUUCCUAGGGGACUGAAAACAUGCAGUUUACAGCUCUGGCUACAACCCUGAAGAUUGGCUCUCCUGAUGGUUGCACGAUGGCUGCAGCAGUUCCAGAUGUCCCAUCGAGACACAAAAAGAUCCCAGAUGGAAGAUGCCAUCUCCUCCUAUGUGCCUCUUUUUAAGAGUUACACAGGAGUGAGGAGGACCACCAAACCAAACUAAGACUCGGAGGAAAAAAAAAAAAGAAAAAGAAGAAAAUGUCUGCUAGGUGCCAUGCCACUCAAACAGCCAAUGGAAAGGCCCACGUGGCGAGAGCUAAGGCUUCCUGCCAACAGGCAAGUGAGGAAGCCCAGUCAGCUGCCUGCAGUCCUGACCCAUGAAGAGCCUGACUGAAAGUGAAUGAGCAACCCUGAGCUAGGACAACCCAGCAAGGCCCAUCCUGAAUUCCUGCCCACAAAAACUCUGAGACAGUAAAUGUUCGUUGUUUUAAACCACAAAGUUUUGAAGUAAUAGAUUAAUUAGGUAACCAAUUGGGACUGCAGUAUUCCUUCAGGGAACUUGAAUAGUCAUUCUGUAUAUGGAAAUUGUACACAUCUUAAAAUUGCUGGACUAAAGUGAGAAGAGACUGUCUUGAGUCAACUGGAUAAAGUGGAAAAAAAAUUAAUUUGGAAAUCAAUAGAAUUCUGGCCUUGGCUUUGUCACUAAGAAACACUUAUAAGUAAUUUCACUUCUCUUGAAAUUAUGAUCAUUAUCUAUAACAUAAAGGAACUGAGCUAAAUGUUAUCUGAUGCCUCUUUAGGCUCUCAAACUCCAUAGAUUUAUGACAUGCUUGAAAUUCACUUUGUUUCACCCUAAUUCAGAGCUUUGUUUCACUAGCUCUAGAAUUAGAUGCCUUGGGUUUAAAUUGCAAUUCAGUCACUUAUUUAAAUAAUUGUACUUGGAUGAGUGAUGUUGCCAUUUUAAGCCUCAGUUUCCCCAUAGAUUCAUUGAGAAGAUCAAAUAAGAUGAUGCAGAUAAAGCUCUUAGUUUGUGGGGACACUUAGUAAGUGCUUAAUAAAUACAGGCAGUUGUGUUAUCUAUGUUGUAGCAGCACAUUUUGUAAAAUAAAACAAAGUUGAAAUCA
ensembl:lncRNA LINC02266 long intergenic non-protein coding RNA 2266